UCUGAUUUAGCGGCGGACGGGUGAGUAAUGCCUAGGAAUCUGCCUGGUAGUGGGGGAUAACGUUCCGAAAGGAACGCUAAUACCGCAUACGUCCUACGGGAGAAAGCAGGGGACCUUCGGGCCUUGCGCUAUCAGAUGAGCCUAGGUCGGAUUAGCUAGUUGGUGAGGUAAUGGCUCACCAAGGCGACGAUCCGUAACUGGUCUGAGAGGAUGAUCAGUCACACUGGAACUGAGACACGGUCCAGACUCCUACGGGAGGCAGCAGUGGGGAAUAUUGGACAAUGGGCGAAAGCCUGAUCCAGCCAUGCCGCGUGUGUGAAGAAGGUCUUCGGAUUGUAAAGCACUUUAAGUUGGGAGGAAGGGCAUUAACCUAAUACGUUAGUGUUUUGACGUUACCAACAGAAUAAGCACCGGCUAACUUCGUGCCAGCAGCCGCGGUAAUACGAAGGGUGCAAGCGUUAAUCGGAAUUACUGGGCGUAAAGCGCGCGUAGGUGGUUCGUUAAGUUGGAUGUGAAAGCCCCGGGCUCAACCUGGGAACUGCAUCCAAAACUGGCGAGCUAGAGUACGGUAGAGGGUAGUGGAAUUUCCUGUGUAGCGGUGAAAUGCGUAGAUAUAGGAAGGAACACCAGUGGCGAAGGCGACUACCUGGACUGAUACUGACACUGAGGUGCGAAAGCGUGGGGAGCAAACAGGAUUAGAUACCCUGGUAGUCCACGCCGUAAACGAUGUCAACUAGCCGUUGGAAUCCUUGAGA
rnacentral:rRNA from 1 species